rnacentral:rRNA from 1 species
UUGUGGGCCUAAAAAGCAGCCACCUAUCAGAAAGCGUCACAGCUUUACUUCACCUAACCCCUAAUUACUUGACUUCCCCCUAACCCUUAACCCCUACUGAACCCUUUUAUAUUUUAUAAAAGUUAUCAUGCUAGAACUAGUAACAAGAACCCGCAUUUCUCCUAAAUGUAAAUGUAAACCAAAGCGGACCACCCAUUGAUAAUUAACGUUAAUGCACUCAUCAUAAUAACUCAACUAGAAAACCCUAUGACACCCCAACGUUAACCUUACACCAGAACAUUAUAGGAAAGAUAAAAAGAAAGAGAAGGAACUCGGCAAAUGCCAGCCCCGCCUGUUUACCAAAAACAUCGCCUUCUGACCAAUAUAGAAGGUCCAGCCUGCCCAGUGACAAAGUUCAACGGCCGCGGUACCCUGACCGUGCGAAGGUAGCAUAAUCACUUGUUCCUUAAAUGGGGACUCGUAUCAACGGCAUCACGAGGGCUACACUGUCUCCUCUCUCCUAUCAGUGAAACUGAUCUCCCCGUGAAGAAGCGAGGAUAUUACUAUAAGACGAGAAGACCCCAUGGAGCUUUAAACAUGAUAUUAACCUUCUACCAAAACACCAACUAAGCCAUAAACCCUUAAUAUCAGUUUUAGGUUGGGGGGACCGCGGAGUACAACCUAACCUCCACGACUAACGGGCAACGCCCUUAUCCACGAGCAACACCUCUAAGAAUCAAUAAACUGACGUUUCAUGACCCGAUAUUUCGAUCAACGAACCAAGUUACCCUGGGGAUAACAGCGCAAUCUACUUCAAGAGCCCCUAUCGACAAGUGGGUUUACGACCUCGAUGUUGGAUCAAGGUAUCCCAGUGGUGCAGCCGCUACUAAAGGUUCGUUUGUUCAACGAUUAAAGCCCUACGUCAUCUGA